GACGAACGCUGGCGGCGUGCCUAAUACAUGCAAGUCGAACGCAGUGGGGACGGGUGAGUAACACGUGGGUAACCUCCCAUCAGAGGGGAUAACACUUGGAAACACGUGCUAAACCGAUACUUCUCGCUUGACCCGCGGUGCAUUAGCUAGUGGGUGAGGUAACGGCUCACCAAGGCCACGAUGCAUAGCCGACCUGAGAGGGGGAUCGGCCACACUGGGACUGAGACACGGCCCAGACUCCUACGGGAGGCAGCAGUAGGGAAUCUUCGGCAAUGGACGAAAGUCUGACCGAGCAACGCCGCGUGAGUGAAGAAGGUUUUCGGAUCGUAAAACUCUGUUGUUAGAGAAGCGGUAUCUAAACAGAAAGCCACGGCUAACUCCGUGCCAGCCGCCGCGGUAAUUC
rnacentral:rRNA from 1 species